UCUGGGCAUGAUGGCAUAUGCCUAUAACUCCUGCUACCUGGGUGGUGGAUCUCUUGGGCUCAGGAAUUCUGAGCUGUAAUGGGCUAAUUCAGUUGGGGGUCCAGUCUGGCAUCAGUAGGGUGAGCCCCUGGGAGCAGGGGGUCACCAGGUUGCCUAAGGAGGGGCAAACCAGCCUAGGUCAGAAACGAAACAAGUCAAAGUUCCCAUACCAAUCAGAGGAAGAUCCAGCCUGCUAAUGGUCCCUGCAUUUCCAUCCUAGGAUAGAAGACCCA
rnacentral:SRP_RNA from 1 species